CCCCGAUGAGGAAAACCUCACGCGUCUUACUGCCCGUCUGGCGCCAGAACCUGCAAAGGUUGAACCCACUGGUGCCGGCGGCCGGAGAGGAGGACGGCUCGUUCUGUGGGAACGGUCUGAGGGGA
ensembl:snoRNA SNORD22 Small nucleolar RNA SNORD22